rnacentral:rRNA from 1 species
AUUGAACGCUGGCGGCAGGCCUAACACAUGCAAGUCGAGCGGAGCGGCGGACGGGUGCGUAUUGCCUAUGUAUCUGCCUGGUCGUGGUGGCUAACGUCCGGUAACGGGCGCUAAUACCGCAUCCUAUCAGUUUCGCCUCGGCCGGAUUAGCUAGUUGGUGGGGUAAAGGCCUACCAAGGCGACGAUCCGUAUCUGGUCUGAGAGGAUGAUCAGUCACACUGGAACUGAGAAACGGUCCAGACUCCUACGGGAGGCAGCAGUGGGGAAUAUUGGACAAUGGGCGAAAGCCUGAUCCAGCCAUGCCGCGUGUAUGAAGAAGGUCUUCGGGUUGUAAAGCACUUUAAGUUGGGAGGCGGUACCAACAGAAUAAGCACCGGCUAACUUCGUGCCAGCAGCCGCGGUAAUAC